AGCGGCGGACGGGUGAGUAACGCGUGGGUAACCUGCCCUAUACACACGGAUAACAUACCGAAAGGUAUGCUAAUACGAGAUAAUAUAAGAGAUUCACAUGGAUUUCUUAUCAAAGCUGAGGCGGUAUAGGAUGGACCCGCGUCUGAUUAGCUAGUUGGUAAGGUAACGGCUUACCAAGGCGACGAUCAGUAGCCGACCUGAGAGGGUGAUCGGCCACAUUGGAACUGAGACACGGCCCAAACUCCUACGGGAGGCAGCAGUGGGGAAUAUUGCACAAUGGGCGAAAGCCUGAUGCAGCAACGCCGCGUGAGUGAUGAAGGCCUUCGGGUCGUAAAACUCUGUCCUCAAGGAAGAUAAUGACGGUACUUGAGGAGGAAGCCCCGGCUAACUACGUGCCAGCAGCCGCGGUAAUACGUAGGGGGCUAGCGUUAUCCGGAUUUACUGGGCGUAAAGGGUGCGUAGGUGGUCUCUUAAGUCAGGAGUGAAAGGCUACGGCUUAACCGUAGUAAGCUCUUGAAACUGGGAGACUUGAGUGCAGGAGAGGAAAGUGGAAUUCCUAGUGUAGCGGUGAAAUGCGUAGAUAUUAGGAGGAACACCAGUAGCGAAGGCGGCUUUCUGGACUGUAACUGACACUGAGGCACGAAAGCGUGGGGAGCAAACAGGAUUAGAUACCCUGGUAGUCCACGCCGUAAACGAUGAGUACUAGGUGU
rnacentral:rRNA from 1 species